GGUUAAGCGACUAAGCGUACACGGUGGAUGCCCUGGCAGUCAGAGGCGAUGAAGGACGUGCUAAUCUGCGAUAAGCGUCGGUAAGGUGAUAUGAACCGUUAUAACCGGCGAUUUCCGAAUGGGGAAACCCAGUGUGAUUCGUCACACUAUCAUUAACUGAAUCCAUAGGUUAAUGAGGCGAACCGGGGGAACUGAAACAUCUAAGUACCCCGAGGAAAAGAAAUCAACCGAGAUUCCCCCAGUAGCGGCGAGCGAACGGGGAGCAGCCCAGAGCCUGAAUCAGUGUGUGUGUUAGUGGAAGCGUCUGGAAAGGCGCGCGAUACAGGGUGACAGCCCCGUACACAAAAAUGCACAUGCUGUGAGCUCGAUGAGUAGGGCGGGACACGUGGUAUCCUGUCUGAAUAUGGGGGGACCAUCCUCCAAGGCUAAAUACUCCUGACUGACCGAUAGUGAACCAGUACCGUGAGGGAAAGGCGAAAAGAACCCCGGCGAGGGGAGUGAAAAAGAACCUGAAACCGUGUACGUACAAGCAGUGGGAGCACGCUUAGGCGUGUGACUGCGUACCUUUUGUAUAAUGGGUCAGCGACUUAUAUUCUGUAGCAAGGUUAACCGAAUAGGGGAGCCGAAGGGAAACCGAGUCUUAACUGGGCGUUAAGUUGCAGGGUAUAGACCCGAAACCCGGUGAUCUAGCCAUGGGCAGGUUGAAGGUUGGGUAACACUAACUGGAGGACCGAACCGACUAAUGUUGAAAAAUUAGCGGAUGACUUGUGGCUGGGGGUGAAAGGCCAAUCAAACCGGGAGAUAGCUGGUUCUCCCCGAAAGCUAUUUAGGUAGCGCCUCGUGAAUUCAUCUCCGGGGGUAGAGCACUGUUUCGGCAAGGGGGUCAUCCCGACUUACCAACCCGAUGCAAACUGCGAAUACCGGAGAAUGUUAUCACGGGAGACACACGGCGGGUGCUAACGUCCGUCGUGAAGAGGGAAACAACCCAGACCGCCAGCUAAGGUCCCAAAGUCAUGGUUAAGUGGGAAACGAUGUGGGAAGGCCCAGACAGCCAGGAUGUUGGCUUAGAAGCAGCCAUCAUUUAAAGAAAGCGUAAUAGCUCACUGGUCGAGUCGGCCUGCGCGGAAGAUGUAACGGGGCUAAACCAUGCAC
rnacentral:rRNA from 1 species